ACACCUAUGGUGAAGCGGUUAUCAUGCUUGCCUUCCAGGAGCCGGAAAUCACGUGACAGCGCGAUUUCCACUGCACCACGAAGCAAGCGGCAGGGGUUCGACUCCCCUUGGGUGUA